rnacentral:rRNA from 1 species
UCGAACGGAAUCCAUGUGGUGGUAACACCGCGGAAGAUUUAGUGGCGAACGGGUGAGGAACACGUGAGGAAACCUGCCCCAAACUUUGGGAUAACAGUUGAAACGAUUGCUAAUACCAGAUGCCGUUACUUUGUCGCAUGGCGAGGUAACGAAAGUUUUCGGUUUGGGAGGGCCUCGCGGCCUAUCAGCUUGUUGGUGAGGUAAUGGCCCACCAAGGCAACGACGGGUAGCUGGUCUGAGAGGAUGAUCAGCCACACUGGGACUGAGACACGGCCCAGACUCC